rnacentral:lncRNA from 1 species
CAACAGAUCACAGAAACCUAUGUUAUAGUCAACAUACCUUUUAAUGGAUGUGGUACAAUAAGACAGGUGAAAAAUAACACUAUCAUGUAUUCCAAUGUAAACAGAACAUCUCCUUCUGGUUAUAUUAUCACAAGGAAAAGCAACUUUCAGUUUCACGUUACCUGCACAAUGAACCAGGACACAAUGGUAGAAAUAAUACUCACACAAGAGAGAGUUUCUGGAAAAAGAUGAUGUACGCAGCCCAUUUGUUCUUGCCACUUUGCUCCUGGCAGGAGUUGUUUUGGUUCUCACUGGGGCCCUUUUGAGAAGUAAACUGAGAAGAGGAACUGAGUACCAAGUGCUGUGAGAGGCAAGGCAUCACGUGAGGUGGCUCAGCCUCGUUCUUCAUGAAUGUAUUCAAUGUCAAACAUUUGCACAGUGAUUUAAUAGAUAACAGUAAAUUAAUAAAGGAAAGUACUUGGCUUUCA